rnacentral:rRNA from 1 species
UACGUAGGGUGCGAGCGUUAAUCGGAAUUACUGGGCGUAAAGAGUGCGUAGGCGGUUUGUGAAGUCAGAUGUGAAAGCCCCGGGCUUAACCUGGGAAGUGCGUCUGAAACUGGCAGGCUAGAGUUUGGUAGAGGGGGGUAGAAUUCCUGGUGUAGCAGUGAAGUGCGUAGAGAUCAGGAGGAACACCGAUGGCGAAGGCAGCCCCCUGGGCUAAAACUGACGCUCAGGCACGAAAGCAUGGGGAGCAAACAGG